CCCUUAGAUGUUCUGGGCCGCACGCGCGCUACACUGAUGCAUUCAACGAGUCUAAAACCUGGUCUGAUAGGGCUGGGUAAUCUUUUGAAAGUGCAUCGUGAUUGGGAUAGAUGAUUGCAAUUCUUCAUCUUCAACGAGGAAUGCCUAGUAAGCGCAAGUCAUCAGCUUGCGUUGAUUACGUCCCUGCCCUUUGUACACACCGCCCGUCGCUCCUACCGAUUGAAUGGUCCGGUGAAGCGUUUGGACUAUGGUUUUCUGAUGGUCCGCCGUUGGAUUACCGUGGGAAGUUCGUUAAACCUUAUCAUUUAGAGGAAGGAGAAGUCGUAACA
rnacentral:rRNA from 1 species